rnacentral:tRNA from 1 species
GUCCAGGGAUGGGAACCGAACCCACAUGCUCCGCCUACCGGGCAGAUGCCAUGUCCACUAGGCUACCCUGGA